rnacentral:lncRNA from 1 species
UGAUGAAUGGUUGAGGAGAUAUGGUCCAAUGAUUGCCAAGUGUGCAUGGAACUUCAAAAGGCCAUAACUUUUGAUUCAUAACUUCAAAUUUGGUGCCUCUUUUUCUAAAAUGCUUCUCAUGACAUGAACUUUUCAAAACAUUCAUCACAUUGCAUGAAUUUCUAUCAUAUGAUCAUUUGUUCUUUCAUGCCUUUUUUGGAGGGAAAAUGCAAAAUUUAAAAUUGGUGCAUUGUAUGGACAAAU